GGUUGGCGCUCCGAAAGGUUGACAGGUAUGGAAUGACAAAAGCAUCCCUUCAGCGAGCACGUGUCUGCUAAUAGUCUUGAUUUGUUGUUGAUGCUGUGGUUUGAGAUACAUUUUAAGAUCAAAAUUCCAUUGCUUUUCUCUUGAAGUGAAAUCCUUUCCACAAUAGUGUUUUUGGUAUCCCUACUCACCUGAUGUCGAUGAUCACCUGUUCAUCUCAAACGUAAUUAAUUUCGGCUUGUGGAUCAUGUUAUCAUUGGGGUGACAUAGCGCUAACAACAUGCAUAUACUGUAUGUACUGCUUUUGCUGAUUGGAGUUAUCUUUUUUUUCAUGGGAAUACAGUACAUACAAUAAAUAUAGUUUCAAGUGUAAAUGAACAAAGCAAAUGAAUGCAUCUCAUUUUUGUAAAGAUCCAUUUUCCCCCCAGGAUAUACUGCUUGUGUCCAAAAAAGAUUUUAUAUUCAGAUGCCAGAUUUUAUUUAUGUAUAGCAAAUCUAUUAUUUGUAGCUCUAGCCAUUUGGAUUCAUGCUAUGAAGAUAUUUUCACAGAUCAAUUUUGAACAACUCAAGGAAAUCAUUGUCUGUCCCUUACAAUGUAUUUGCAGUGUUUGAGUUCAGUCCUGUGUUGUGCAAGAGAGUUCUUUAUUUGAAGGGACAAAACCAAAACGACAACAAACUACCUACCGCUUGGGAAAAAAAAAAUGCCUUUAACCUUUGAACACAGAAAUGCUGCAAGGUCAGUGAAUAGAAAAUGUCAAACAUGCAAUUCCUGUUCCUAAAUAUGUUUUUGUAGCUGACGUUACGAUACUCUCGUCUCUGGAAGUGACACAUAGUUUAUGAAUAGCUUUUGGGGAUUGAGACUUGGCUUUAUGUUGAUGAUGUGUAUAAAUGUAAACAUUUUCUAUUUGUGAGGCAUACUGCAUUUGCCAUAGUUAAGUGUCAAGUGUAAAUAGCAGGCUUUAGUUUGACAAUAAAAUAUAAUGGUUAA